rnacentral:rRNA from 1 species
CAAUAGCGUAUAUUAAAGUUGUUGCAGUUAAAAAGCUCGUAGUUGGAUCUUGGAGGUGCGUGGGAUUUGGUCCGCCUCGAAGGCGAGUACUGGUCCCUGCCCUCUAUAUGUGGCAACAACGUACAGAUGUCCUUAAGUGUGAUGUUUGUUUCCGGGAGGGGCGACCCGACUGGGAGGUUCGGGACGGUUUUGGGGCGAUGCGCUUCGGUGUGUUGUUCUGGGCUGUUUCGAGCAAUGUUUUGCCUAUUUCACCUUGAAGAAAUUAGAGUGUUCAAAGCAGCGCUUAGGCGCAUUGAAUAUUGCAGCAUGGGAUGAUAGAAGAGGACAGACGUCUUAUUUUGUUGGUUUUAUAAGACGAUUGUAAUGAUAGAAGGGGACAGUUGGGGGCGUUUGUAUUGAGAUGUCAGAGGUGAAAUUCUUAGAUUAUCUCAAGACAAACUUCUGCGAAAGCAUUCGCCUAGGAUGUUUUCAUCAAUCAAGAACGAAAGUUGGGGGAUCGAAGAUGA